UUGGAUAGAUAACUCUUUGUGUUUUUGUUUGUUUAGAGUUUUCAAAUUUUCCCAGAAGUGGUUCGAUUCUAUGGAUUCUUCAAUUACAUUGAGCUGAUUUCUGAUGUGCUGUUCCUACUGUUUCCGUAGUGUGUUUCUGUAUUGUUUUAGUGAUUCACCAUAGUGAAGGCUCAGGUUUUCUGGGUCUCUAUGUUUUUGGUUGGAUAGGUCUCUCAGUUUCUUUCUUAGGUUUUUGCAUUCUUCAAACCAUUUGUUAUUCAUUUUCUUAGGGUGUCUGCUUGAAAUGUGUUGAUUUGAUUUGGAAGCUAAAAGGUCAAGUAUACUGUUUAGCCUUUCUACUACCAAGUACAAAUGUAUACCUUCACUGUCACGGUGAAAUAUUUUGUCAAGGAAGUUGUCUAAAAGGGAUUGAAUUUGGUUUUGCCUAAUCAUUUUUAGUAAGUUUCUACCCUACAUUCCUUCCAUCUAUAGCAUUUCUUAAUGUUACUCAGUUCCUUUGGCUUUGAUGCCUCAUGAUUGAUGAAGUCUGGGUUCCUGCUCUUCAGGCCAAAGGCAGAUGACCUCAAAACUUGUAUAUUCCAGGAUGAGAUAGUAAAAGCUUUGUGUUCCGUUGUUGUUUAGGCUCAGACCAUUACUGUACAUGUGAGCAGAGCAUGUGAUGCAUACCUCUUAGGUUGCAGCUUGGGAAAGGGGCAUACCUAGUCAGUUGUACAACUGAAUGCAUUCAACUGAAAUAUGUUUUUCGCAUUUAACCCAGCCUCUCUGAAUCGGAGAGGUGCAGGGAGUUGCCUUAAUCAACAUCAUCGGGGAACAGUGGGUGAACUGCCUUGGCUCAGGUGUAUAAUUCUAGAUUUUUUUUUAUCUUAUCAGCUCAGGGAUUCAAUCCAGCAACCUUUUGAUUACUGGCCCGACACUCCUACCCACCAGGUUACCUGCCACCCCUUUGUCCAAUGGUCACUGAACAAAUUAGGAAGAAGAAUGGCAUACGCCUGCAGCAGUAACACUCCAAAUGGAUGGCUCAGAAAUAAUCCAUUAUUUUUAACACACUUGAAUCAUUAUACUCAGCAGCGUCCAGCUUCAGUUUCUGCCGUGCGUCCCUGGAGCACACAGUGUCUGUAG
rnacentral:lncRNA from 13 species